rnacentral:misc_RNA from 1 species
AAGUCGUAACAAGGUUUCCGUAGGUGAACCUGCGGAAGGAUCAUUAACACGUAUCCAACGUUAAACAACCGCCCAUGAGGAACAGCAAUCCCGGUAAAUCAUUGCCAAACAGUUUUGAUUCGGGACCUCUGUCCAAAAGGAGUUGCAAUCGAAGGGUGGAAGCAGUGGCAUGGCUUCCCCAAGCAGUUAGUGAAUGACAGUGUCACUGACUGUGUAAGGAUAACGCCUCACGGUUGCUAGAGGUCGAUCACCGACCGGCAGACAUGUCACAGGGUCACCACGCCCCUUAAUCACUCCACUUGAAAAUGCCCCGCCUAGUGGUAACGCGCUAGGUAAAAAAAACCGAACAACUGUUAACAAUGGAUAUCUUGGUUCUC